UACAGAGGUCCCAAGCGUUGUUCGGAUUUACUGGGCGUAAAGGGUGCGUAGGUGGCGGGGUAAGUCUGGUGUGAAAGCUUCGAGCUCAACUCGGAAAAGCAUUGGAAACUAUCCCGCUAGAGGGUCGGAGGGGAGACUGGAAUUCUCGGUGUAGCAGUGAAAUGCGUAGAUAUCGAGAGGAACACCAGUGGCGAAGGCGGGUCUCUGGACAGUUCCUGACACUGAGGCACGAAGGCGAGGGGAGCAAACGGG
rnacentral:rRNA from 1 species